CAGCAGCCGCGGUAAUACGGAGGGUGCAAGCGUUAAUCGGAAUUACUGGGCGUAAAGCGCACGCAGGCGGUUUGUUAAGUCAGAUGUGAAAUCCCCGAGCUUAACUUGGGAACUGCAUUUGAAACUGGCAAGCUAGAGUCUUGUAGAGGGGGGUAGAAUUCCAGGUGUAGCGGUGAAAUGCGUAGAGAUCUGGAGGAAUACCGGUGGCGAAGGCGGCCCCCUGGACAAAGACUGACGCUCAGGUGCGAAAGCGUGGGGAGCAAACAGGAUUAGAUACCCGCGUAGUCCCUGUCUCUUAUAC
rnacentral:rRNA from 1 species